ACACAUGCAGUCGAACGAUGAAGCCCAGCUUGCUGGGUGGAUUAGUGGCGAACGGGUGAGUAACACGUGAGUAACCUGCCCUUGACUCUGGGAUAAGCGCUGGAAACGGCGUCUAAUACCGGAUACGACCUGCCCCGGCAUCGGGUGCGGGUGGAAAGUUCUUCGGUCAAGGAUGGACUCGCGGCCUAUCAGCUUGUUGGUGAGGUAAUGGCUCACCAAGGCGACGACGGGUAGCCGGCCUGAGAGGGUGACCGGCCACACUGGGACUGAGACACGGCCCAGACUCCUACGGGAGGCAGCAGUGGGGAAUAUUGCACAAUGGGCGAAAGCCUGAUGCAGCAACGCCGCGUGGGGGAUGACGGCCUUCGGGUUGUAAACCUCUUUUAGUAGGGAAGAAGGACUUCGGUUUGACGGUACCUGCAGAAAAAGCACCGGCUAACUACGUGCCAGCAGCCGCGGUAAUACGUAGGGUGCAAGCGUUGUCCGGAAUUAUUGGGCGUAAAGAGCUCGUAGGCGGUUUGUCGCGUCUGCUGUGAAAACCCGAGGCUCAACCUCGGGCCUGCAGUGGGUACGGGCAGACUAGAGUGCGGUAGGGGAGAAUGGAAUUCCUGGUGUAGCGGUGGAAUGCGCAGAUAUCAGGAGGAACACCGAUGGCGAAGGCAGUUCUCUGGGCCGUUACUGACGCUGAGGAGCGAAAGCGUGGGGAGCGAACAGGAUUAGAUACCCUGGUAGUCCACGCCGUAAACGUUGGGAACUAGAUGUGGGGACCUUUCCACGGUCUCCGUGUCGCA
rnacentral:rRNA from 1 species